rnacentral:rRNA from 1 species
CAGUCGCCACGGGAAUACAAAGGGUGCAAGCGUUACUCGGAAUUACUGGGCGUAAAGCGUGCGUAGGUGGUGGUUUAAGUCCGUUGUGAAAGCCCUGGGCUCAACCUGGGAAUUGCAGUGGAUACUGGGUCACUAGAGUGUGGCAGAGGAUAGUGGAAUUUCCGGUGUAGCAGUGAAAUGCGUAGAGAUCGGAAGGAACAUCUGUGGCGAAGGCGACUAUCUGGGCCAACACUGACACUGAGGCACGAAAGCGUGGGGAGCAAACAGGAUUAGAUACCCCGGUAGUCCCUGUCUCUUAUAC